AAAGAAACCAACCGGGAUUGCCUCAGUAACGGCGAGUGAAGCGGCAAGAGCUCAAAUUUGAAAUCUGGCCCCCUCGGGGUCCGAGUUGUAAUUUGCAGAGGAUGCUUCGGGUGCGGCCCCCGUCUAAGUGCCCUGGAACGGGCCGUCAUAGAGGGUGAGAAUCCCGUCUGGGACGGGGUGUCCGCGUCCGUGUGAAGCUCCUUCGACGAGUCGAGUUGUUUGGGAAUGCAGCUCUAAAUGGGUGGUAAAUUUCAUCUAAAGCUAAAUACUGGCCGGAGACCGAUAGCGCACAAGUAGAGUGAUCGAAAGAUGAAAAGCACUUUGAAAAGAGAGUUAAAAAGCACGUGAAAUUGUUGAAAGGGAAGCGCUUGCGACCAGACUCGCCCGCGGGGUUCAGCCGGCAUUCGUGCCGGUGUACUUCCCCGUGGGCGGGCCAGCGUCGGUUUGGGCGGCCGGUCAAAGGCCCCCGGAAUGUAGUGCCCUUCGGGGCACCUUAUAGCCGGGGGUGCAAUGCGGCCAGCCUGGACCGAGGAACGCGCUUCGGCACGGACGCUGGCAUAAUGGUUGUAAACGAC
rnacentral:rRNA from 1 species